UCUCCGUUGGCGAACCAGCGGAGGGAUCAUUACAGAGUUGCAAAACUCCCAAACCAUUGUGAACGUUACCUAUCCCGUUGCUUCGGCGGGCGGCCCGGGCCCCGCGCCCGGCGCCCCCCGGCCCCCCGUGGGCGCCCGCCGGAGGUAAACCAAACCCUUGAAUUGCAUGGCCUCUCUGAGUCUUCUGUACUGAAUAAGUCAAAACUUUCAACAACGGAUCUCUUGGUUCCG
rnacentral:misc_RNA from 1 species